GGGCCCGUGGCCUAGCAGGAUAGGGUGCCGGCCUUCGGAGCCGGAGAUCCCGGGUUCAAAUCCCGGCGGGCCCGCCA
rnacentral:tRNA from 1 species